GAAAUUUUAUGUUUGAUCAUAUACUAUUAUACUAGGUGAUGACCCGCGCCCUACGCGGGAUGAAAUAUAUUUCAAAUUAUAAUCAUAUAUUAGAUCUAUAUUAUAAUUUCAUAUAUUAGAUCAUAUUAUAAGAAUUUUAGUUACUAUAUAAUUUUUCUUAUUUUACAUAUCUUUAAAAGAAAUUUCUUAUGAUAACUUUUUUUAGUUUAUUUUCACAAUACAUCUACAAAAAAAAGUUACCAAAAUUUAUUUUAUUAAAAAGUAAUUAUACCUUUAUAUUCCUAGGAUUAACUAACUUUACACUUUGGAGGGUAGGAUUUAAAUUUUUAACAAUAUAAAAUACAUAUUAAAAUUUUAAAAUAAAAAUAUGAAAAUAGUUUCAAAUUUUCUUUUCGUAUUUCAAAAAACAUAUUUGGGUUUAGAGUCAAAGGAGAGAGUUUUGGGGGUAAGGUUUAAAAUUUUAACAAUAUAAAAUUUUAAAAAUAAAAAUAUAAAUAUUUUCGAAAAAUAAAUUUCGUUAUAUAUUUAUAUUAAUAGAGUUAAAAUUUGUAUUGGACAUACAAACUAUUAAGCAAAUAAUUAUCUUUUAAAAAAUUAGAUCAAUAUUUUUAGAUAAUAUUAAUAUAUGAGCUACAAAUAUAUGGGCUACAUUUUGUUUGAUAGCAGAGGCCUACUACAUACGAUGGGCUUUGUUUUAGGAAAACAUAUACAAAUCUCUUUUUGUUAUAAUUCACAAAAUAAAGAAAAAAAUUCAUCCGAGACAAAUCGACUCUCUCAUGAGCAAAGGGGGAUUAGGGUUUAAACGAAAUCAAUUUGCUUUUCACCAGACGAACACAUGUGAGUUUUCGUUUUCUUACUUUUCUUCCAGCCGUUUCUUAUUUUUUCCCCUACUUGCGAUUGUUUCCGAUUAGUGAUUCCUCUUUUUUUGACAAACGAUCAAAUUGGAAAAAUACAAAAACUGGAUGUUCUGGGAAAGUAAAUCCUCUACAAAAUCUUCAACUCCUUCCACUCAAAUGGCAUCGAGAAAGAACCGUGGUGGACUAAUAAUUAUUUUUGGCUGAAUGAUUCCCGGACAACGACGGAUACAGGUGUAAAACCGAUAUGUAACGGUCGACUCUUGAUUUCGGUUUGAACUUUGAAGUGAUUAAGAAAGAAGAAUCUUUUAAAUCAUCAAUAUAUGGUUCGGUGUAAAACAUAUUACAAAGGGCUCGGUUAAUUAAUUGUUAGAAACAUUUUAAUGUAAAGGUGGUCGUAUGAUUAAGUUAUAGUGGCAUUAUUUGUAAAUUCUCUAGUAACAAAAGGGUUUUUAAACA